rnacentral:rRNA from 1 species
AAUGAACGUUGGCGGCGUGGAUUAGGCAUGCAAGUCGAGCGCGAACCCCGCAAGGGGGAGAGCGGCAAACGGGGUAGUAACGGGUAGGUGACGUACCCUCGGGUUGGGGAUAGCCACGGGAAACGUGUGGGUAAUACCCAAUAAUCUCCUGAAGCUUGAAGGUUUCGGGAGCAAAGGUGUGAUUCCACCGGAGGAGCGGCCUGCUUCGUAUUAGCUAGUUGGUGAGGUAACGGCUCACCAAGGCUUCGAUGCGUAGGGGGUGUGAGAGGAUGAUCAGCCACACUGGAACUGAGACACGGUCCAGACUCCUACGGGAGGCAGCAGUAAGGAAUAUUGCUCAAUGGCCGAAAGGCUGAAGCAGCAACGCCGCGUGGAGGAUGAAAUACUUUUGUAUGUAAACUCCUGUAAGAAGGGAAAAUAUUCCGAUUUAUCGGGAUUGAUUG